rnacentral:rRNA from 1 species
UGGGGAAUAUUGGACAAUGGGCGAAAGCCUGAUCCAGCCAUGCCGCGUGUGUGAAGAAGGUCUUCGGAUUGUAAAGCACUUUAAGUUGGGAGGAAGGGCAGUAAGCGAAUACCUUGCUGUUUUGACGUUACCGACAGAAUAAGCACCGGCUAACUCUGUGCCAGCAGCCGCGGUAAUACAGAGGGUGCAAGCGUUAAUCGGAAUUACUGGGCGUAAAGCGCGCGUAGGUGGAUCGUUAAGUUGAAUGUGAAAGCCCCGGGCUCAACCUGGGAACUGCAUCCAAAACUGGCGAGCUGGAGUAGGGCAGAGGGUGGUGGAAUUUCCUGUAUAGCGGUGAAAUGCGUAGAUAUAGGAAGGAACACCAGUGGCGAAGGCGACCACCUGGGCUCAUACUGACACUGAGGUGCGAAAGCGUGGGGAGCAAACAGG